GGGCUGAGCCCCGGGGAGGGGGCUGAGCACGGGAUUGGGGGGGGGGGGGGGGAAAGGGGCGCGGCCUCGGCUACCUGCACUGAGGGCAGCCCCAGCUGGCAGGGCAGUGAGAUAAACUCGAUAAACUCUUCCCCCCCCCGCCCCGUCUUUUUGUGGGGACGGCCCCGCUGCUCUCCAGCCCCGGCUCCGCCUUACCUGGGUGUCCCGGCCGCCGCGGAGGGAGAUGAAGUAGAUCGGAUGGGUUUCAAGAGAGACACUUUGAAGAGGGAUCUGUUGAGAAUCACCAGACAAACACAACACGACAGAUCCAGGAAGCCUUCUGAGACAGAUCCUUGAGGAAUACUUGUAUGAAGGUGUCAUAAAGGCUUGCCCUAUUCUUGUUUUACCCUGGCCAUUUAUAUGUGGUCACUAUAGAAGGCAAGUUGCUGGGCUGGAUGGAUCCUACCUUUCACAGAUACGAAUAAAUGUAUUUUUACAACA